rnacentral:rRNA from 1 species
CCUACGGGAGGCAGCAGUGGGGAAUAUUGCACAAUGGGGGAAACCCUGAUGCAGCGACGCCGCGUGAGUGAAGAAGUAUUUCGGUACGUAAAGCUCUAUCAGCAGGGAAGAAAAUGACGGUACCUGACUAAGAAGCCCCGGCUAACUACGUGCCAGCAGCCGCGGUAAUACGUAGGGGGCAAGCGUUAUCCGGAUUUACUGGGUGUAAAGGGAGCGUAGACGGCAGCGCAAGCCAGGAGUGAAAGCCCGGGGCCCAACCCCGGGACUGCUCUUGGAACUGCGCGGCUGGAGUGCAGGAGAGGGAA